CAUUCGCUAACCCUAGGGCUGCGAUCGCAGCUCCCGAUCUGCCAUGGCUCCCAUGGCCGGACUUCGCUCCGACCAGCUUCUGCUCCGGCGUCGCCUUGGUCGCAAGAAUAACGCGAUCUCCAACUUUUAGGUACUUUGAGGAAUCUUGGCGCUGCGACUCUUCUUGGACCGUGAGCUGGUAAAUCCAGCCGAGCGAGGGUACAGGUUCCAUGGCAAGGAUUUGGCUGCGAAACGGGCCUGACGAAACUCGCGGGACGAGAUGGAGUAAUUUUCAGGCCCCGACAACUGCUGUGUGAUGAGGUGGAGCUCCAGUCCGUCCGCGUUGGAGGUGUAGAGAGGGUCUCUUGGUUCGGGUCGAGUUCACCUGCGAAAUGAAGAAAACCUGGUCCAUAGGUCAGGUACGGACUCGCCCCAAAUGCUGAUGAACCCGAACCGGUUUGAUUCAAGAAGGGCCAAUCCCGUCCCACCAGAGUUGGACUAAUUAUUAAGCUGCGGAUCUUCUCCCCUUGGUCCGUCAUUGGCUCUCUCGGGAAAGCCGGUGGAACUUUGGGCAGGAUUCAACUGACUCGUCUGGCCUGGAAGGGGUUGAACCUGGAUGGGAACCCAUUGAACAUAUGGGCCCGGAAGAAAUUGCCCUGUAUUGGAAUGAACAGAACCCUGUCACGCCUCAAGAGUCGGCACUUGAUUCUGUUCUUGUGUUUGAUUUUCCGUCACCCAGAUCAUCCAAAGUACAGAAGAAAAAAAUGCAGGCUUAAUGUGGAAAGGAAAGGGAAACAGGGGGAACAAAGAAAGCUUCGAGGGCUGGAAGAAGCAGAGAAGAGAAGGAGCAAAAAUGGUAGAGAAAGAUGUAAAGAAGGAGCGGAAGCUAGAAGACAGGCUCUGAUACCAUGUCAGAAUAUUAGAGGGAAACAAACCGAGAAUCAAGAAUUGAGAAAAAUGCUUUUCUUUCUCUGCAAUUCAAUUGUACAGUUUACGGCCCUAUUAAUAACGUACAAGCUUGAUCUAAUUAGAGAAAAUAAAUAUACAAGAAUAAUUUCCCAAA